rnacentral:snoRNA from 1 species
ACAUUGAAAACGAAAUGAUGAUCCCAUGGGCCUCUCACAGUGUCCCAUGCCAAAGCAAACUGUCACCCGGAACCAGUGCCUGGCUUUACCCGGUGGGCUUAAGGCACUGAAGCGGGUUGCACAGAG